rnacentral:rRNA from 1 species
GACGUAGGUGGCAAGCGUUAUUCGGAAUUAUUGGGCGUAAAGCGUGCGUAGGUGGUUUCUUAAGUCUGAUGUGAAAGCCCAUGGCUCAACCAUGGAGGGUCAUUGGAAACUGGGAAGCUUGAGUACGAAAGAGGAGAGUGGAAUUCCACGUGUAGCGGUGAAAUGCGUAGAGAUGUGGAGGAACACCAGUGGCGAAGGCGACUCUCUGGUUCGAUACUGACACUGAGGCACGAAAGCGUGGGGAGCAAACAGG